rnacentral:rRNA from 1 species
GGAGAAAAGCAGGGGAUCGCAAGACCUUGCGCUUUUGGAGCGGCCGAUGCCUGAUUAGCUUGUUGGUGAGGUAAAAGCUCACCAAGGCUCCGAUCAGUAGCUGGUCUGAGAGGACGACCAGCCACACUGGGACUGAGACACGGCCCAGACUCCUACGGGAGGCAGCAGUGGGGAAUUUUGGACAAUGGGGGCAACCCUGAUCCAGCCAUGCCGCGUGAGUGAAGAAGGCCUUCGGGUUGUAAAGCUCUUUCAGCCGGAACGAAACGGUCACGGUUAAUACCCGUGACUACUGACGGUACCGGAAGAAGAAGCACCGGCUAACUACGUGCCAGCAGCCGCGGUAAUACGUAGGGUGCGAGCGUUAAUCGGAAUUACUGGGCGUAAAGCGUGCGCAGGCGGUUUUGUAAGUCGGAUGUGAAAUCCCCGGGCUUAACCUGGGAACUGCGUUUGAAACUACAAAGCUAG